UUUUUAUGUAAGUAUGUCCCAUGCAAUAUUUGGGACAUACUUAUACUAAAA
rnacentral:pre_miRNA from 1 species